GAUGAACGCUGGCGGCGUGCCUAAUACAUGCAAGUCGAGCGAACAGAUGAGGAGCUUGCUCCUCUGACGUUAGCGGCGGACGGGUGAGUAACACGUGGAUAACCUACCUAUAAGACUGGGAUAACUUCGGGAAACCGGAGCUAAUACCGGAUAAUAUAUUGAACCGCAUGGUUCAAUAGUGAAAGACGGUUUUGCUGUCACUUAUAGAUGGAUCCGCGCCGCAUUAGCUAGUUGGUAAGGUAACGGCUUACCAAGGCAACGAUGCGUAGCCGACCUGAGAGGGGGAUCGGCCACACUGGAACUGAGACACGGUCCAGACUCCUACGGGAGGCAGCAGUAGGGAAUCUGCCGCAAUGAGCGAAAGCCUGACGGAGCAACGCCGCGUGAGUGAUGAAGGUCUUCGGAUCGUAAAACUCUGUUAUUAGGGAAGAACAAAUGUGUAAGUAACUAUGCACGUCUUGACGGUACCUAAUCAGAAAGCCACGGCUAACUACGU
rnacentral:rRNA from 1 species